rnacentral:lncRNA from 8 species
AUGCUUGAAUCUCUCCUGGGUUUUCAGUCUGAGCUCAGUCUCAGCGAUGACACAACACAUCUCUGCUACCACCUCCUUACCCUAACCCAGCCCCAAUCCUCAGCCCUAUUCAGCCAGCUCAAACCCAGCCCCAACCCUCAGCCAUAUACAGCCAGAUCAAACCCAGCCCCAAUCCUCAGCCCUAUACAGUUAGCUCAAACCCAGCCCCAACCCUCGGCCAUAUACAGCCAGAUCAAACCCAGCCCCAACCCUCAGCCCUAUACAGCCAGCUCAAACCCAGCCCCAACCCUCAGCCCUAUACAGCCAGAUCAAACCCAGCCCCAAUCCUCAGCCCUGUUCAGCCAGCUCAAACCCAGUCCCAACCCUCAGCCCUAUACAGUUAGCUCAAACCCAGCCCCAACCCUCAGCCAUAUACAGCCAGAUCAAACCCAGCCCCAACCCUCAGCCCUAUACAGUCAGCUCAAACACAGCCCCAACCCUCAGCCCUAUACAGCCAGCUCAAACCCAGCCCCAACCCUCAGCCAUAUACAGUCAGCUCAAACACAGCCCCAACCCUCAGCCCUAUACAGCCAGCUCAAACCCAGCCCCAACCCUCAGCCAUAUACAGUCAGCUCAAACACAGCCCCAACCCUCAGCCCUAUACAGUCAGCUCAAACACAGCCCCAACCCUCAGCCUAUACAGCCAGCUCAAACCCAGCCCCAAUCCUCAGCCCUAUUCAGCCAGAGCAAACCCAGCCCCAACCCUCAGCCUAUACAGCCAGCUCAAACCCAGCCCCAAUCCUCAGCCCUAUUCAGCCAGAGCAAACCCAGCCCCAACCCUCAGCCCUAUACAGCCAGCUCAAACCCAGCCCCAAUCCUCAGCCCUAUUCAGACAGAUCAAACCCAGCCCCAACCCUCAGCCCUAUACAGUCAGCUCAAACCCAGCCACAAUCCUCAGUCCUAUACAGUCAGCUCAAACCCAGCCCCAACCCUCAGCCCUAUACAAUCAGGUCAAACCCAGCCACAACCCCUAACGCUAGAAUACACACUGUUAGCACAUAUGGAUUUGUCUAUAGGAAUCUUUGGUGUUACUCUAUUAUUGUAACCCUAUAUGAAAUCGCUGUGUUUGGUUAUGCAAAAAUACAUGCUCGAUUUGUUUACCUGGUACAGGUUCAGUGA